UCUCUUUAUUGUGAUACUUGUUUACAGUUUGAAGGUUCUUUCACUCAAGUUUUGCGGUAUUCUGACAACAAUCACUAUUAAAUGCAGAAAGGCCGUCAUGCAUAUACAUUUUUAUGGAGGCAUCGAAUUGUAGUUGUCGAGAAAAGGAGAGGUAUUUCAUCAAAUGAGACGUAGCCAAUGUGACGCAAUUUGGUGGAAAACUCUUAUUUCCUGAUUGCCAAGGUUUGACUGCGUACCUUAUUUUAAGAGUAAAAUAAGCCAGUUGCAUUAUUCUUAAUACGUGAUAGGCCUAUACUUUUAAUAUAUUUGACCUAAGAUAGAACACGUGGUGACUACUUUUUGUUUAAUUACAAACGAAAUUCUCCAAAUAUGUCAUCUGUUACGGAGUUAAGUUUCGACCUGUCGAAUAUUCCGUUGAUAGCACUGAAUGUCAAUGUGAGAAAGAAAUUAGGAUUGUUUUUAAAUCCGAGAAACACUGUCGCAGCGGAUUGGAUGUCGAUCGCGGAGAUCAUGGGUUUUUCUUAUUUAGAGAUAAAAAAUUAUGAGGACUCCCAGAAUCCGACAAGAAAAAUAUUGGAAGAUUGGCAAGCAAGGUGUCCAGAUGCAAAAGUCGGAAAAUUACUUUCGAUUCUUGAGGAAGCCGACAGAAAAGAUGUGGUUGAAGAUCUUCGACAUUUAAUCGAGGAGGACUGCAGAAAAUACCUUAACUGGCAGAAGGAGCCCCCACUUCAGGUGCCUGAGGUGGAUAGCUGUGUCCCACGGACCCCAGAGCGAUCAAGAAUCACCCUGGAAGAUGACCCUGACGGAGGAAUGCCCGAGUUAUUUGAUGCCUUCAUUUGCUACUGUCAAAGCGACUUCACAUUUGUAAAGGAGAUGAUUCAGCAGCUUGAGCAGACUGAGCACAAACUGAAACUGUGUGUGUUCGACCGAGAUGUCCUCCCUGGAAGCUGUGUAUGGACCAUCACCAGUGAAUUGAUUGAGAAGAGAAAUGUAGGUGUAAGAGGAUGGUGGUUGUGAUCUCAGAUAACUACCUGGACAGUGAUGCCUGUGACUUCCAGACUAAGUUUGCCCUCAGCCUCUGUCCCGGUGCUCGGAGCAAACGACUUAUCCCUGUGGUAUACAAGUCUAUGAAGAAACCGUUUCCCAGCAUUUUGCGAUUCUUGACUGUGUGUGACUACACCCGGCCCUGCACUCAGGCCUGGUUCUGGGUUAGACUGGCCAAGGCCCUCUCCUUGCCCUGAAUAACUCACAAGCUCAAACCAAACCAUCAUCAGUCACUUGCCUUACUCAUCUUGGUCGAUUUGGUGGGCUCAUUUUCCCAUCUUGAUGAGAAAAAUGGCAAAGGUGCAUGAAGGUUAUACAGUUGAUAUGACUAGACUCAGCUUAAAUAAAACCUACAGCUUUUACUAUAAAGGUGCAGUUUGGUCAUGUAGCUAAUCAAUCUGAUACAUAGGACAGUAUCCUAUCACUUCAUCAUGGCACUAGUCAGUAGUGUUUCCUCCCUCACUUGCCCCACUCUACGUUUCAAUCUAGGGUCCCCUGACUUGCGCACACGACUGACCACCUUUAAAAUGGUGUGAUUGAAAGUAUUUAUACUUAUACACUUUAACUUAGUUACUCGAACUCAUGAUCAUCUUAAUUCAGUUCCAAACCUUUAAACAUAUGACAUGUUGCUGUUGGUUUAGCCUUUCAAAUUCGUAACAACCUUUCCAAUUAAGCUAUACUACUGUUGUGUGCCAAGCAGGGUCGGACUGGCCAUCGGGAGAUUUCCCGAACGGCCGGUCAAACAAACGGCCGCUACGGCCACGGCACUAUUCAAGAAAAAAAAUCCUAAUAGUUUACGAUUACUUUGAGGACGGCCUUAAUACCAUUCAACUGUUUAACUGGAGCGAUCCAAAAUCCAAAGGGUGGGGGUGGGCAUUUCCCCUGUGUAAACUUCAACGGUGCACUUGUCCGUCCAUUUUACAGAUCACGAUUGGUCAAAAAUCAAUAGUUUUCCGGGUACAGCCAAUUCGUUGGAGCUAUUUUAGCUAUUUUGUUUCUUUAGCAAAGAAAUGGAAAGGAAAAGAAACGGAGAAUAACAACGGGCACAGCAAGCAAAUGCUGCACAAUUUAGAAGUAUAGAAUACAUGUUUACGCCGUCAAAAGACGGAGAGAGUUUGCAGCCCGAAGAUGCGGCUGUACCAGGUGCAAGU